AACGAACGCUGGCGGCGCGCCUAAUACAUGCAAGUCGAGCGAGAAGACGUAGCAAUACGUUUGUAAAGCGGCGAACGGGUGAGGAAUACAUGGGUAACCUACCCUCGAGUGGGGAAUAACUAGCCGAAAGGUUAGCUAAUACCGCAUACGACUCCUGGUCUGCGGAUCGGGAGGGAAAGCGAUACCGUGGGUAUCGCGCUCUUGGAUGGGCUCAUGUCCUAUCAGCUUGUUGGUGAGGUAACGGCUCACCAAGGCUUCGACGGGUAGCUGGUCUGAGAGGACGAUCAGCCACACUGGCACUGCGACACGGGCCAGACUCCUACGGGAGGCAGCAGUAAGGAAUAUUGCUCAAUGGCCGAAAGGCUGAAGCAGCAACGCCGCGUGGAGGAUGAAAUACUUUUGUAUGUAAACUCCUGUAAGAAGGGAAAAUAAACAGAUUUUCUGUGUUGAUUGUACCUUCAGAGUAAGCCCCGGCCUAACUACGUGCCAGCAGCCGC
rnacentral:rRNA from 1 species